rnacentral:tRNA from 1 species
GGUAGCCAGUUGGCCUGGAAGCGGUCUUCAAAACCGACGAGGCCGAGGUUCUCGGCCUGACGGGUUCGAUUCCCGUCCGCCU